GUAGACUACAACGUUGAUAGGCAGGAUGUGGAAGCGUUGCAAGGCGUUAAGCUAACCUGUACUAAUUGCCCGUGAGGCUUAACCAU
rnacentral:rRNA from 1 species